rnacentral:rRNA from 1 species
UGGGGAAUAUUGCACAAUGGGGGAAACCCUGAUGCAGCGACGCCGCGUGAGCGAAGAAGGUUUUCGAAUCGUAAAGCUCUGUCCUAUGAGAAGAUAAUGAGGGUAUCAUAGGAGGAAGCCCCGGCUAAAUACGUGCCAGCAGCCGCGGUAAUACGUAUGGGGCGAGCGUUGUCCGGAAUUAUUGGGCGUAAAGGGUACGUAGGCGGUCUAUUAAGUCAGGUGUGAAAGCGUGAGGCUUAACCUCAUUAAGCACUUGAAACUGAUAGACUUGAGUGAAGGAGAGGAAAGUAGAAUUCCUAGUGUAGCGGUGAAAUGCGUAGAUAUUAGGAGGAAUACCGGUGGCGAAGGCGACUUUCUGGACUUUUACAGACGAUCAGGUACGAAAGCGUGGGGAGCAAACAGG